AAGAAGAAGAAGAAGAAGAAGAAGAAGAAGGCACGUCUUGACUAUAACGCAAAUCUACCUUAUUUGCUUUUAAAGGUAAUGCUCAGUCCCUACCGACACAGUUUUUAUAAACUUGGAGCAUCCCAGAACUCAAUCUGUAAUCCCCACCUAGCAUACGUCGUGCCGGCGGACGGGGAUGCACCCACCCAUCCUUCCUCAGAGGUGCCUGAAGCCUGUGCAGAAAGGGACAGGACUAUGCUAUUCAACCAACAGCACCCGUCUCACCAUCUACCCAUCUUUCCUUCUGCUGAAGAGAGCGGGAUGGAGAGGCAGAUGUGUUUUCUGAGAGAAGAGCAAACAGGGGAGGCCUCGUGUAGCGAGGAGUGCAGAUUAUUUCCAAAGUGGUGAAGCAAACUGGGAGAGAGAAGCUGCGGGAAUGCUAUGAAGGGGAGCGGCGGGGUCAGCGGCCUUCUAAGCGUGCAACCCAGGCUCCUCGGUCUGUGGUUUACAAGAACUAUCGGCCCAACACCAGUGAGCUCCAGGCCUCGCUGAAAUCACGCACCUCUUUUUUCUUAUUAAUGUACUGGUAGGAAACUGGGAAUCAGCAGGCUGAUAUUCUAAGCUCAGCCCUUUUGAAGUUCUAAGCACACUUAAAUCCCAAAGCAAGGAUUUAUGAAUCCCUGGCAGCAGACUGGCCAAUGAUUUCACCACCUCAGCAGAAACACGGGCACUCUCAGUCAGCAUGGGUGUGCAGCGACCUCCCCACACUGCCUCGCUCACCAAGCAUUUGCUCUGUGUUUCCUGUUUAGUCCCCCGAUGCCAGGAGUCCUCUCUCAAAGACUGGAAGCACCCGAAACCUGCGACCACCAAGGAACCAAUGCAGCUCCCCUGAGUAGGUCACGCACCUGCUUCUUAGCUACCUGCCAGCACAGUCUCGCUUCCCUCACAUACCUUCUGUCACUUCAGCCAACCAUGGCAGGAACCGCCAACACUGACCGAGAACUUCUGGGCACCAGGCCUCCUUCAGACACUGAGAGACCUAUGGUCACCGCAUGGCGUGGCAUCAGAACCUUUCUUGCUCUGAGGACUUCAGAGACACACUACACAUCCUGCUCCCCACCACCGAGGACGCACUGGCCUGUGCUGAGUGGGAGGUACAGGAGGACCAUUCACAGAGCAGGUUGUUUUCAGCUUUAACUGCUCUUAAUGUCCCUAGUUUUUAGGGCCCUCGACUACUAGAAAUCCAACUGCUGGGGGAAAGGGUGAAGGCGCAUCUGCAAGUCUUAGUUUGUCUCCCUAACUCACUAUUGAACAUUUACCUCCACUGCAGUUAUUAAAGAAAUCUAAUAAACAGGCAAGUUAUAAUGAACGAUUGAUUGUAAGGGUAAAACUCCCCUCACUUGUCGUCAAAAAAACGUGGUCAGUGUUUACAGCAACCACUUUGGUCUUUGCUAUACUAUAAAAACUGCUUAAAAAGGACUGGAAUAAUUGUUUUUCAUUUCAAUGCAUUCACUUACUUGGAGAGAGGUCCAGGAACAUAAAACAGAGUUGGUUUCAGGCUCUCAAAACUGCCAGGGAAAUAUUUAAAAUGAGUGAAUUUCCAAAUGAUGGCCAUUUCAGUGGUGUCAGAGGGCCUAUAUUACUAAAUAAUGUAUAAAUAAACUGCUGAUCAAGGUCAUUAUCCUUUGACACUGCUAAUGCAUCAUCUGUCUCCCAACGUAGGAUAUUUAUAAUCAACCCAAUUUCACCAACAAGGACACUCUCAGACUUAAAAUGCUUUCACUGGGCAGAGCCUCUGUUUUGCUAGUGCCCGGAGAAGGAUCUGGCACAUAACGGACACUCCGCUGUUGGAUGAGAACGGGAACCUACGUAGUCCUCAUCAGCUAGGCCUCAUACAACCUUUUAUGGGUGCCAAAGCCACGUUUGACAUACAUACAGAUUCUGUAUGGGAGAAACGUUGUUCCAGCAACCUUCAAAGUUAGUAAUAAAAAGAAAACCGCUACUGAGAGACACAUAAAACACGAAAUUUCAUUUUAAUCUCUAUAUAUAUGAAAUACGGCCUCAGCACAGAACAUCUAUCACAUAUGAAAUGUACUUAUGGGACACACUAAAUGAAGCAAAUCCUUAUUAAAAUAUUUGGCCUAACCCUCACAUCUUGUAAAUGAACUCCAUGAUGGUUGAGGAAGGUGGGAAAUUAAUCGUCUAGCUACCUGACCUUGGAAAAAGCUCGAUGAAUUGCCUGAAGUCUAUUUGGUCUCUGCAGACUGGGUAUUUACCAUUCUGAGUCUUGCCAGAGUUGGUUCUGCAAAUAGUUAGCUUAAUGACAGUCAAUGACAUAUUAUUUUUCCAUAGUUACCUUAAUAUUUUGGUUUUUUUUUUUUAAAUUUUCUAUUGCUUUUUCUUUUUAUGGCUUCUUACUGCUGUUGUAUUGGGCAUACAACACAGAUCAGAGAUUUGCAUUUCUCAGAGAAAUUUCUCUCCUUGAGAAAUUGGCACUUUGAUCCUCUGCUUGUGUAACAGCUACAUAUAAAUGGACCCUACCAGCAUUGUUACCAAUCUUGCUGCUUAUGAAAUUCUAGCACUUUGGCCCAAAGAGUGCCCUGACGUUAAAGUCUUCUUAGGUGACUCUUCCCACCACCAAACUCUUUUACUUAAACAGGUGUGUGUAAUUCACAUAUAUGUUAUAUCAUAAGUUUCUACACACAUAUACACAUUUAACUUGUAAAAGUGAAAUGUCUCUCUUGAAUAAAAAGUAAUUACAAGGGUAUUAAAACAAAUGCUGAAAAUAACUAUUUUACAUUUAGAUCAUAAAAAUUUUAAAGGUAAUCAUGAUGACAUAAGACCUAAGAGAUCAAAUACAUCCUGUAUGAUUGUCAUAUAUGCACGUUGUGUUCAUUGACUUUUUCUCUUUAAUCAGAAAAUAAAAGAGCUUACCUUUGUUUACUGAGACCACAGCUUACAGUCACUAGAUCUCAGCCUAUUUUAUACAAGUGAUAUGGCUACGAAGGUCCGAGGAGAACGAGAAUAAAGUGAGAUAAACGUGCUGAAAACUGCUUAAAAGUAUUAACCUGAAAUACACAGAGGGUCCAACACCAGUUUUAAAAAUACAUUAACGAGGUAUUCCCAGCUCUUCAAUUAUUAACGGUGACUGACUGAUUCAUGAUUUUCAAACAUUCACCCAAAUUUUAAAAAAAGAAGGAAAGGCUAAUAGCAGAAAAAUCUAUCAGUGGUUUGUUCCCAGGUUAACGAUUUCUGUGCGACUACAAACGACUCAGGACUCCUUGCUGCACGCACCAUGCGCUGCAUCUAGUCAGCAUGAGGUAUGUUGGGAAUCUAUUGGACCAAUUACCUUGCACAAGAGAGGGGGUGCUCCUGCAGCCGGAAGAAGCCGGGGCUGCAGGCCACAUCCCUGGCUGGGUGCCAGCCCCCAUGCAAAGAAUAUGGCUUCAAGGAGGACCCCUAUCUCUGAGAAAUUAUAAUAGCGCUAACUGACGCAGUCGGGAAUGCAACUACCCAAGUUAUGUGCUAAAAAAGUUUAAAAAACUGUCAGAAGAUAGCACAGCUCACACACUGAUUCUAAGUUCUCCAUUGGUCUGUAAACUCCCGGACAAGAGACUACGCUAGGAGGGCUUAAGUACAGAUAUUGCUAGGUUUCCAAAGGAGAAGUUUUAAAACAGACACCGUGGCUUUGAAUAAAAGUAUUGCUCUUCUGUAAAAUGCUCAGUCAUUGCUUUCCAAAGAAGGUGUCAGAGUGGUGUAUCUGAAAGCUGGAAAGCCUCAGGGGGUCACAAGGCUCUUAAGACCAAGACAGAAAUUGCCAUUUCAAGCCAGACAACCUGAUGGUUCUAGAAGUCAGAGAAGAAAUCUUGAGGGCCCAAGUGAAUAAUAAAUGGUGCGACGCUCAGAGGCUGGCAAUAGGGGCUGUCAAUGAAAAAACCACCUACAGUGGAGAAAAGAGCAGAGAAGCAAAACUUGGUGUUAAUUUCACAGAAUUUGGUGAAGCCAAGAGCUUCAUUUAUAUUUCUCUGCUCUUUCAGCUGUAAGUGGAAUUUUCAUUACAAAAUGGAGGGGGGGGGAGGGCAGAAGGUGGGGAGGGGGACACUUAAUUCAUUACAAAAUUUAAACAGUUGAACUUGCAUGGUUACCACUUCUAACAGAGGACUGACAGCUCAAUUAUUUUAAGUAAAGCAGAGAAAUGUAAAAGUUUGCAGCAACUGGGCAGGUUUACAACAUGGUUAGUAACUUCCAACAAACAACAAAAUUAAAAAAAAAAAAAAAGACUUGGUAGAAACCAUUUGAAAUGACUGCCAUCAUGUUGGAAAACAGCACAGCUCCCUUUUCACCAUUAUAGAGGGGUUAAAUUCCAAAGCUGAGUCAGCUACUUCAAAAGAAUUUUCUAAAGAGAAAUCUCCAGAGAGAUUCCAACUUGGAAUGCAAAUUUGACGAUCAAUUUCAAAUAACAAUACAGCUGCAGCUGCCAAUUAAUAGUAUUCCAGAAACAAAAAGGACUAUUGUAAAUAUUUAAUUAAUAAAAACUGGACACUACCAGCCAUGCUUUUUCUUCUCAGUGAUGGCUCCGUUUCAUCCAUAGGUCAGCAAAAUGAAUCAAUGAAACAUGAAAACUCCCAGCUGCAAUGGGCCCUCUUGUUUAUGUCUAGCCACUAAUGCACAGGAUGAGAAUGAUAAGUUCACAGCUAUUUCUAGCAAGUGAUGAGGUUUUAUUAAAGUAUCACCCACCACUAAUAAAGACUAAAGGUCAAGGAGCAGAAGUAACAAGCCAUUUCGUAAUAAAUACACAUCUGAGAAGUGACACUCACUGACGUUUGUUUUAAAUUGCCCAUCUCGUUCUCAUUUAGUGGUCCCAGAGAAAUCUGGUACAUAAAUUUGUAGUAUUUCGUGAAGCCCAUUCUCACUGAUGGGCACUGUUCAGCUCUGAGAAGCAGAACUGAAGAGGGAAGCUAAUUCGUACUCAAAACGGACAUUUUUAAGACACAGCGACUUAGAAAUAUCCACACGGGACCACACCGGUGCCUUCAUGGGGGUGAGUACCUUAAUGAAACCAUUACCUUCUAGUAACAUCAUAGGCUUUCCAAACAAGGCGGGAAUGCAAGGGGAAGGCUCGGGUCUGCACCCUUUACAGGACAGCACAAUGUUACCGACUGAUCAUUUUUCACCAGCUUAAUCAGAUAAAUUUUAAGAAAAACUUAAAAAUAAAUGCUGACCCAUGGCUGAAACCUGUCACUUUUCACAGCAGCACUCAACAAGAACUGGGACAAUCGAAGAGCAAGUUUUUAUGGGGACCCUGUUGCUGCUUUAGAUUCUGAUGUAAUUGAAGAGGAAAAGAGACCUUUCAAUGAAUCCCAGAAAAAUCGCUAAUCUUCUAUCUGCAUGAAAAAAGCCAGGGAAGUGAACACAAUAUCUUACAGAGUGAAGAAGGCCACAAGAACAAGAGAGGGUGAUUGAUCGAUUAAUUUAUUCUCUUUUAAAACUUGGAAAUUAGGAAACUAAAAUAAUCACAUUCCUCCUUCCCCAUCUCUGGGUAGUGCCAUCAUCUGAAUAAGCAAUGCUCGGAUAACAGAAUGUACCUUUAUCAUGGGGAGGCCCUUGGACAGCAGUACAAAGGGCUUACAAAGUGAGCAGACUGGCUCAAGCUAACAAUUGCCUUUGCUUUGUUUUAGCAGUUUCCUUACAAAUGAAUGGGUUUCGAGGGCUAAGUUAUUAUUAGUUUUCAAUUCCUUGUAAUUUGAUACCAAAACAUAUCAAAAAUAAUAAGCUAAAACAAUAUUCAAACCCAUAUUUUAUUGGCUUUAAUUACACACUUCAGUAUUUACAAAGUUAAAGUUUAAAUGAAAAGUCUCUAUUGUACUGUAUUAAAAAAAAUAACUACAGCCCAAAUUCAAGUGCCCUGGGGCAAAUACAUAUCAAUCAGAGCUAAGAAUCAGUGACUGCGUCAGGAACCAGGCAGUACUCUGUGUUACAACAAAGCAGUUUAUUUGUGAUCAGUGUUUGAGACUCUAUACAUCCUUCACAAAUUUAAUUUUACAUAAUCUGAUACUCCUCUUAAAACUUAAACUUUGAACUGCUAGACUUAUUUCCCUAGAACAGAAGGGCUGGUAUAAGUUAUUUUCCGGAAAUGAGGUACCGUUUCACAGAACUAGUUUCUUUUUUGUUUUCAAGUUUUAGAGAACUAAAUUUGCAUUUGUUAAAAUCAAAAAGUAGGAAAGAUGUUCUUUACAAAUAAUUUUGAUCAAGUAUGUGUUCAAAGAAAGCAGGAUAAAAAGGCUUUUUUCUCUAACAUUCUGUAUUGUACUGUAUUUGUUGUUCAAUAGGAAUUAGCUUCUGUCAUUUGCUAAAAGAAUGAGUAGUGGGGAACAGGAUAUGUUGGGAAUUUCAUAACGGGUAACAGAACCAUUCUCUUGGGUAAACCUACAGAGAAAAGAAACGGAGAGGACUCCAAAUAAGUUUAAUAAUCCAAUAAAAAUUUCAGGUUAAAAAAUAUCUUACAGUAAUUAUCGUUAACCUUUUCCAGAUUAGUCAGUCAACAUGAACCAUCUGGGAGGAGACCCACAAACCUCUCAACAGAUCUCCUGUUUUGAAAUUGCUCCUAAUAUUGUGAUCGUUAGUUAUUUUCCACUCAAAAUUAAGAGGGCUAUAUCCUAGGAAGAAUGAUAUUCAGAAGGCAAUUUCAUUUGAGUGAGCAGCCAUGAGUUCCAAAGAUCAAAAGCAGUGCUACUGAUUAAUAUUCCAGAGGGACUCCAGAAAUCCAGAAUCGUUUUCAAUUUGGCACAUCACAUAUUACAGGAGAAACAGGGAUGGCUGUCAGUCAAGACCCAAAGCACAGCUUUCCGUGCAGGCCUCCGCUCCCCAGAGAGACCGCUCCACCUGGAGUCACGACCAGUUAGGACAUCAGAUGAAGCUUCAAUUUAGCAGUGUCGUAAGGACCAUAAUUUUCAUCUGAACAAAGAUGGAAAAGCUGACGCAUGAAGAGAGAGAGCAUAAUGAAGGGUCCUGAGACUCGUGUGGAGGGCUGACGCC